GGGGAAUAUUGGACAAUGGGCGCAAGCCUGAUCCAGCCAUGCCGCGUGGGUGAAGAAGGCCUUCGGGUUGUAAAGCCCUUUUGUUGGGAAAGAAAAGCAGCCGGCCAAUACCCGGUUGUUCUGACGGUACCCAAAGAAUAAGCACCGGCUAACUUCGUUCCAGCAGCCGCGGUAAUACGAAGGGUGCAAGCGUUACUCGGAAUUACUGGGCGUAAAGCGUGCGUAGGUGGUUCGUUAAGUUGGAUGUGAAAGCCCCGGGCUCAACCUGGGAACUGCAUCAAAAACGGGCGAGCUAGAGUAUGGCAGAGGGUGGUGGAAUUUCCUGUGUAGCGGUGAAAUGCGUAGAUAUAGGAAGGAACACCAGUGGCGAAGGCGACCACCUGGGCUAAUACUGACACUGAGGUGCGAAAGCGUGGGGAGCAAACA
rnacentral:rRNA from 1 species